rnacentral:siRNA from 1 species
ACGAGGAUGGGCAAAAGCUGG